UACGUAGGGGGCAAGCGUUACCCGGAUUUACUGGGUGUAAAGGGAGCGUAGACGGCCAGACAAGUCAGAAGUGAAAGCCCAGGGCUCAACCCUGGGACUGCUUUUGAAACUGCCGGGUUGGAGUGCAGGAGAGGUAAGCGGAAUUCCUAGUGUAGCGGUGAAAUGCGUAGAUGUUAGGAGGAACACCAGUUGCGAAGGCGGCUCUCUGGACUGUAACUGACACUGAGGCACGAAAGCGUGGGGAGCAAACAGG
rnacentral:rRNA from 1 species